CCUACGGGUGGCAGCAGUGGGGGAUAUUGCACAAUGGGGGAAACCCUGAUGCAGCGACGCCGCGUGAGUGAAGAAGUAUUUCGGUAUGUAAAGCUCUAUCAGCAGGGAAGAAAAUGACAGUACCUGACCAAGAAGCACCGGCUAACUACGUGCCAGCAGCCGCGGUAAUACGUAGGGGGCAAGCGUUAUCCGGAGUUACUGGGUGUAAAGGGAGCGUAGACGGUUUGGUAAGUCUGGUGUGAAAGCCUGGGGCCCAACCCCGGUACUGCUUUGGAAACUGUGUAACUGGAGUACAGGAGGGGUAGGCGGAAUUCCUGGUGUAGCGGUGAAAUGCGUAGAGAUCAGGAGGAACACCGACGGCGAAGGCAGCCUACUAAACUGAAACUGACGUUGAGGCUCGAAAGCGUGGGGAGCAAACAGGAUUAGAUACCCUAGUAGUC
rnacentral:rRNA from 1 species